UGGGGAAUAUUGCACAAUGGGCGCAAGCCUGAUGCAGCCAUGCCGCGUGUAUGAAGAAGGCCUUCGGGUUGUAAAGUACUUUCAGCGGGGAGGAAGGGAGUAAAGUUAAUACCUUUGCUCAUUGACGUUACCCGCAGAAGAAGCACCGGCUAACUCCGUGCCAGCAGCCGCGGUAAUACGGAGGGUGCAAGCGUUAAUCGGAAUUACUGGGCGUAAAGCGCACGCAGGCGGUUUGUUAAGUCAGAUGUGAAAUCCCCGGGCUCAACCUGGGAACUGCAUCGGAUACUGGCAAGCUUGAGUCUCGUAGAGGGGGGUAGAAUUCCAGGUGUAGCGGUGAAAUGCGUAGAGGUCUGGUGGAAUACCGGUGGCGAAGGCGGCCCCCUGGACGAAGACUGACGAUCAGGUGCGAAAGCGUGGGGAGCAAACAGG
rnacentral:rRNA from 1 species